rnacentral:misc_RNA from 1 species
AUGCGAUAAGUAGUGUGAAUUGCAGAAUUCAGUGAAUCAUCGAAUCUUUGAACGCACAUUGCGCCCCUUGGUAUUCCAUGGGGCAUGCCUGUUCGAGCGUCAUUUGUACCUUCAAGCUUUGCUUGGUGUUGGGUGUUUGUCUCGCCUCUGCGCGCAGACUCGCCUCAAAACGAUUGGCAGCCGGCGUAUUGAUUUCGGAGCGCAGUACAUCUCGCGCUUUGUAGUCUCAACGACGACGUCCAAAAAGUACUUUUUUCACUCUUGACCUCGGAUCAGGUAGGGAUACCCGCUGAACUUAA